rnacentral:rRNA from 1 species
GACGAACGCUGGCGGCGUGCUUAACACAUGCAAGUCGAACGGUGAUGCUCCAGCUUGCUGGAGUGGAUCAGUGGCGAACGGGUGAGUAACACGUGAGCAACCUGCCCCAGACUCUGGAAUAAGCGCUGGAAACGGCGUCUAAUACUGGAUACGAAACUGGCCCGCAUGGGCAUGUUUGGAAAGUUUUUCGGUUUGGGAUGGGCUCGCGGCCUAUCGGCUUGUUGGGGGGGUAAUGGCUCACCAAGGCGACGACGGGUAGCCGGCCUGAGAGGGCGACCGGCCACACUGGGACUGAGACACGGCCCAGACUCCUACGGGAGGCAGCAGUGGGGAAUAUUGCACAAUGGGCGAAAGCCUGAUGCAGCGACGCCGCGUGAGGGAUGACGGCCUUCGGGUUGUAAACCUCUUUCAGCAGGGACGAAGCGAAAGUGACGGUACCUGCAGAAGAAGCACCGGCUAACUACGUG